rnacentral:rRNA from 1 species
AUGAGCCAUACAAUGAAGCUAUGGGAGAGAGUCAUUGAGCACCGCUUAAGAAGAAUGACAAGCGUGACCAAAAAUCAGUUUGGUUUCAUGCCUGGGAGGUCGACCAUGGAAGCCAUUUUCUUGGUACGACAACUUAUGGAGAGAUAUAGGGAGCAUAAGAAGGACUUGCAUAUGGUGUUCAUUGACUUGGAGAAGGCCUAUGAUAAGAUACCGCGGAAUGUCAUGUGGUGGGCCUUGGAGAAACACAAAGUCCCAGCAAAGUACAUUACCCUCAUCAAGGACAUGUACAAUAAUGUUGUGACAAGUGUUCGAACAAGUGAUGUCGACAUCGAUGACUUCCCGAUUAAGAUAGGACUACAUCAGGGGUCAGCUUUGAGCCCUUAUCUUUUUGCAUUGGUGAUGGAUGAGGUCACAAGGGGUAUACAAGGAGAUAUCCCAUGGUGUAUGCUCUUUGCGGAUGAUGUGGUGCUAGUUGACGAUAGUCGGACGGGGGUAAAUAGGAAGUUAGAGUUAUGGAGACAAACCUUGGAAUCGAAAGGGUUUAGGCUUAGUAGAACUAAAACCGAGUACAUGAUGUGCGGUUUCAGUACUACUAGCUGUGAGGAGGAGGAGGUUAGCCUUGAUGGCCAGGUGGUACCUCGGAAGGACACCUUUCGGUAUUUGGGGUCAAUGUUGCAGGAGGAUGGGGGUAUUGAUGAAGAUGUGAACCAUCGAAUCAAAGCCGGAUGGAUGAAGUGGCGCCAAGCUUCUGGCAUUCUCUGUGACAAGAGAGUGCCACAAAAGCUAAAAUGCAAGUUCUACAGGACGGCGGUUCGACCCGCAAUGUUGUAUGGCGCGGAGUGUUGGCCGACUAAAAGGCGACAUGUUCAACAGUUAGGUGUGGCGGAGAUGCGUAUGUUGAGAUGGAUGUGUGGCCACACGAGGAAGGAUCGAGUCCGGAAUGAUGAUAUACGAGAUAGAGUUGGGGUAGCACCAAUUGAGGAGAAGCUUGUCCAACAUCGUUUGAGAUGGUUUGGGCAUAUUCAGCGCAGGCCUCCAGAAGCUCCAGUGCAUAGCGGACGGCUAAAGCGUGCGGAGAAUGUCAAGAGAGGGCGGGGUCGACCGAUUUUGACAUGGGAGGAGUCCGUUAAGAGAGACCUGAAGGAUUGGAGUAUCGACAAAGAGCUAGCUAUGGACAGGGGUGCGUGGAAGCUUGCUAUCCAUGUGCCAGAGCCAUGA